CCCGCUUUCCCUUUCCCCCGACCGAGUUACACUUCCCCUUCUUCUUCUCCCAAGCCGGGAUCCGCUGCGCACGACAACACUCGACUCCCCCUCGAGCCCAAGCCCCAGCCGGACGAUCGCCAACCCCGGCGACGCUGAGCUUCCUCAGAUUGUUGACCCUUUUACUGCUCACUAUGUGUUUGCCCUGGGAGUUGCAAGGUUCUUGAGUUGUGCUUAUUGGGUUCUCUAGGUUUUGGAUACUCGAGGUCGGCUAUUGACAGCUCUUGGUUAUGGAUUAUGGCCUUCUAUGGUUCUUAUUUCAGAGAUUGUCCAAACAUUCAUAUUAGCCUAACUUAUGAUAUUACUAUGCCAAAAGUGUUAUUGGAAGACAGCUUGUAUUACGUCUUUCCUCAGGGGUCGUUUGAUGGGGGCAAGUUUCGACUCUGGAUACUUCUAGACUCGAUUAUAUAAAUUUUUUCACUAUUCAUACAGUAGUUUGAAUUUAUUUAGAGCCAAAUCUCUCAAACUUUGUAUCCUCCAGUUUUAGGAAACUUGUAAAUUUUGAGUAACAAGAAUCUGAAGAUGCAAGAGAGGCCCCUGCCAGAAAGUUGUUUGCACAGCUUGAUAAGGACGCAAACAGAUACUUGUCGGACAUUGAAUUGGUACCGGUCAUUGGAAAACUUCAUCCAUCAGAGCGUUAUUAUGCAAAACAACAGAAAUGAUUGCAGGCUGAUUCGGAUAAGGAUGGAAAGUUAAGCUUGACAGAAAUGAUAGAUAACCCUUAUGUGUUUUAUAGUGCUAUAUUCAGCGAGGAAGAGGAAGACGACUUUGAGAAUCAUGACGAGUUUCGCUAGUCUUCACACGACACCGACAGAACUUUGGUCUUCUCUAGAAUUUGAAAAAUGUUUGUAGGAUAAAACAGGUACACUAUCAUUCAUCAUUGGCUGUAAAACUUUGAAGACUUGAUACUUAUUUUUAUGUAAGCAAUUUGUAUUCUUAUUUAUUGAAGAAGAAAGCAUGUAUGUGAGUUCA